rnacentral:rRNA from 1 species
ACUUAAAUUGAAGAGUUUGAUCAUGGCUCAGAUUGAACGCUGGCGGCAGGCCUAACACAUGCAAGUCGAACGGUAGCACAGAGAGCUUGCUCUCGGGUGACGAGUGGCGGACGGGUGAGUAAUGUCUGGGAAACUGCCUGAUGGAGGGGGAUAACUACUGGAAACGGUAGCUAAUACCGCAUAACGUCGCAAGACCAAAGAGGGGGACCUUCGGGCCUCUUGCCAUCAGAUGUGCCCAGAUGGGAUUAGCUAGUAGGUGGGGUAACGGCUCACCUAGGCGACGAUCCCUAGCUGGUCUGAGAGGAUGACCAGCCACACUGGAACUGAGACACGGUCCAGACUCCUACGGGAGGCAGCAGUGGGGAAUAUUGCACAAUGGGCGCAAGCCUGAUGCAGCCAUGCCGCGUGUAUGAAGAAGGCCUUCGGGUUGUAAAGUACUUUCAGCGGGGAGGAAGGUGUUGUGGUUAAUAACCACAGCAAUUGACGUUACCCGCAGAAGAAGCACCGGCUAACUCCGUGCCAGCAGCCGCGGUAAUACGGAGGGUGCAAGCGUUAAUCGGAAUUACUGGGCGUAAAGCGCACGCAGGCGGUCUGUCAAGUCGGAUGUGAAAUCCCCGGGCUCAACCUGGGAACUGCAUUCGAAACUGGCAGGCUAGAGUCUUGUAGAGGGGGGUAGAAUUCCAGGUGUAGCGGUGAAAUGCGUAGAGAUCUGGAGGAAUACCGGUGGCGAAGGCGGCCCCCUGGACAAAGACUGACGCUCAGGUGCGAAAGCGUGGGGAGCAAACAGGAUUAGAUACCCUGGUAGUCCACGCCGUAAACGAUGUCGACUUGGAGGUUGUGCCCUUGAGGCGUGGCUUCCGGAGCUAACGCGUUAAGUCGACCGCCUGGGGAGUACGGCCGCAAGGUUAAAACUCAAAUGAAUUGACGGGGGCCCGCACAAGCGGUGGAGCAUGUGGUUUAAUUCGAUGCAACGCGAAGAACCUUACCUACUCUUGACAUCCAGAGAACUUAGCAGAGAUGCUUUGGUGCCUUCGGGAACUCUGAGACAGGUGCUGCAUGGCUGUCGUCAGCUCGUGUUGUGAAAUGUUGGGUUAAGUCCCGCAACGAGCGCAACCCUUAUCCUUUGUUGCCAGCGGUUAGGCCGGGAACUCAAAGGAGACUGCCAGUGAUAAACUGGAGGAAGGUGGGGAUGACGUCAAGUCAUCAUGGCCCUUACGAGUAGGGCUACACACGUGCUACAAUGGCGCAUACAAAGAGAAGCGACCUCGCGAGAGCAAGCGGACCUCAUAAAGUGCGUCGUAGUCCGGAUUGGAGUCUGCAACUCGACUCCAUGAAGUCGGAAUCGCUAGUAAUCGUAGAUCAGAAUGCUACGGUGAAUACGUUCCCGGGCCUUGUACACACCGCCCGUCACACCAUGGGAGUGGGUUGCAAAAGAAGUAGGUAGCUUAACCUUCGGGAGGGCGCUUACCACUUUGUGAUUCAUGACUGGGGUGAAGUCGUAACAAGGUAACCGUAGGGGAACCUGCGGUUGGAUCACCUCCUUACCUUAAAGAA